rnacentral:lncRNA from 1 species
UUCAAUUUUUAUAAAUAUGCUAAGAAUGUUAAUACACGUAUUUAAGUCAUUCUAAUAUUUACUAAUGUUUUUGUUGCACAUCUAAACUCUAAAAACAUCUUUAAAAUGUCUAAGGUCUAUCAUGAAUUCCAAUUAAUUACUACUGUGCUAUCCUUGCUUUUUCUAUCAGAAAAUUUUCAUUUGGUAUCAUUUUCUCCUUCCUGUUGUAGUACAACAUUUUGAAUUCCCAUGCAUGAAGGUUUGUUGGAGGCCAGCCCUACUUUUGUUUUAAAACUAUUCUUGAUUUCUCGUAAUUCUUAAAUAAUAUAAUUAAGUAUAACAUUCUAGAUAAACAGCAUGCUUUUACUUUUCCACAAGUUUACAAAAUCACUCCACUGACUUUGAUUGUUGCUCUUAAAAUUACAUGUAUUAUUUUUGCAUUUUUGCAGUUAAACAGGCAUUGGUUUCCGCUAUUUUUAUGAUUAUCAGUUUGUCUCGUGUUAUAAGCCAUUACCUUGAUAUCUCUAGGUCUGAAGUUUUUUUAUUAAUAUUACUUAGAUUUAACUGGCUAUGUGACUAUGUAAACUGUUGUACUUUAUUACUUCUGAAAAACUCUUGGUGAAUGCAUCUCUUAAUGAUAUAUCUGAAUAAUUAAUGUUUUUGUCCUUCUACAACCCCAUUUCUCAUUUUAUCCUCUCCUCCAGGUCUCUUAAGAGCUUGUUCAUAUUUUCAUUUACUUAAAAAAAAAAAUCUCUGAUGCAUCCUGCAUAAUUUCUGUAGACUUAUCUAAUGGUUUACUAUUAUCUCCCAAUAUAUCAACUUGUAGUUAAACUGAUACAUUAAAUUUUACAUGUCUAUUACUUUAUUUUAUUUAUAAAGCCUAUUUUAGUUAUUUUGAAAAUUGUUACUUGUGUGUUCAAGUUCCUAUUAUUUCUGAACCAUUUGAAUUAUGUGUCUGGCAAUUCCUUUAUCUGAAGUCUUUUUCAAAUAUUCCUUUGCUGUUUGCUGCUGGUUAUUUUGUAAUUUUGUAAUUAUGUAUAUUUUGUAAUUUUUAUUUGUGUGUGUAUGUGUGUUUGUGCAUGUGUGUAUGUGUGCGUGUGUGUGUGAGAGAGAGAGAUUAAUUUCUUAAUUUCCCUAGAACUUUAUAUAUUGGUAAUUUGUGAGUCCUAAGAUUCAUGAGACAUCAUCCUGAGAAAAUCUGUAUUUAUUCUGUUAUACUAUUUAUCAAGACACUAAAGUUCUAGGACCAUUUUUAACAAAAGUAUCAGUUCAAUGGUUUUCAGAACAUACAAUGUGAUGCUUAUUUCUAGUUCCCACUGCACUGAUGACGUAUCUGUCUGAAUGAGCCAGUUUAACGUGGUUGUUCUCUUAUUAAAUUUCUUUUUUCAUUUUUUUUGAUAGGCCUUGGGCUCGCCUAGAUCAUGAAAAUCAGAAUCUAUGGUUUACCUUUAUUAGGAAACACUUGGAAGGCAAAAGGAGGUUUAUAGAACUGUAGCAUGGAUGAAAUAAGUAAUACAGUGAAUGCUGUCUAAGACUUCUGUAAAAAAAAAUAUAUUUCAGCCUUGACAAAAGACCCUGAAGCUGCCUAAGUGAACUUGACCACUUGAUCAUGAAGAUCUUGAUGUUGAAUGUUAUUCAUGAGAUCAUGAAUGACAUUCCACGAAUCUUGUUCUUUGUUCAUUGAUGUAUCAGCUUAUCUCAUAGUUUGUUUUGUAUUUCUUUUCUGAAAAAUUUUUUACUAUAACAAAUGUUUAUGUAGGGAAUUGUGUCUCAAUAUUUCAAAGACUAUGCAAGUUUAUUGUGGUGAAAACUGGAUUAACUUCUAAAAGGCUGUUAGGAAGGCUGUAAAAUAUUCUGAUGCAAAUCCAACUUUCAGCUGCCUGUGAAUAAAAUUGACUGGAACUUGCUGUUUGCCUAUUUCUCUAACUUUCUAUUUACAUCACAAGUAGAUCCAUCUAGUGAAAAAGACUGGAUCAAACUGGUCAUUAGCUAACAAGAAUUUUACUUUUAAUGCAUUUAGUUAGACAUUUCUGCAAUUUUAAUAUAAAAUUCUAAAAUAAAAAUAUAAAUAUUCACUAUACUUAUUCUGAACAGAAUAAUGCAUGACAGAAACAAAGAUAACAAAAAAAAUCUUGUUUUCAAAAUAUAUUACAUUUUUAUACUAUCUACAGAUAUUAUUUGAGUGCUUUUCUUUUUUUCUAUUUAGGAAACAUCUCUUCUAGGACAAGGUCAUUACUACCAAGAGACAGCACAAUGUCUUCUAAAGCAGAAGUUCAAUUAGGGAGUUGGAUAGGAGAAUGUGCCACUCAUAGAUGAGCAACAUUCCCAGACAUUAUCCAAAGGAUGGUAUUUUUAUAUUUGUGAAUAUAGUCCAAAACCUGGGCCUAUGCAGCAUAAGACCUCUCAAGUGACCUUCCAAACGCUAGAAAAUGCCUAAGGAAAUAGUUAUUUUAUCAUCUCUUUACCUAAAAAAUCAGCAUAAUGUUAAUUUUGAUAAAGUUAACCAAAAAGCAUAAAAAUCUUGAUAGACAUGAGAUGUGUCUGCUUUUUGCCUCAAGCAAUGUGAAUAUAUUAAUCUUAAAUUUCAAUGCAAGAUAGUGAAGGCAGAACUGAAGCCCUGAUUCCAGGGUUAUUAUGGACUGCAAUUACUGAAGUUAUGUCCUCACCUAGAAAGUGAAAACAAUAAUACAUUUUCUUUGGAUCUGGCAAGGUUUCUAUGACUGUUAAACGAGAUACUAUUUCCAAAUGACAUAAGUAUUUUAAAAAUUGUUACUCAAGCAAUUACAAUUGAUCUUUGUUGACUUUGGAUUGAUAUUUAUAUCUAAGUUGCAUAAUCUGAUGUAAAAUUGUACUUUUAUGAUUAAAUCACUUUAAAAGCAUAAAUAUAUUACUAUAUCACAAAAUUUCCUACAUAAUAGAUAGUCUAACAUAUUAUUUGCUGAUAUUAUUGAAAUAAAAGACAAAGUUCUCAAAUGUUAUAGGUUUCAGAGGCAGGUAAACCAGAGCAACUCCAUCUUGAGUAGGGGCUGUGUAAAAUGAGGCUGAGACCUUCUGUGCUGCUUUCCCAUGAGGUUAAGGCAUUCUUCGUCACAGGAUAAGAUAGGAGGUCAGCACAAGACACAUGUCAUAAAGACCUUGCUGAUUAAACAGGUCACAGUAAAGAAGAUGGCUAAAACCCACCAAAACCAAGAUGGAGACGAGAGUGACCUCCAGUUGUUCUCACUGCUACACUCCCACCAGUGCCAUGACAGUUUACAAAUACCAUGGCAAAGUCAAGAAGUUACCCUAUAUGGUCUAAAAAGGGAAGGCAUGAAUAAUCUGCCCCUUGUUUAGCAUAUAAUCAUGAAAAAAAACCAUAAAAAUGUGCUACCAGCAGUCCUCAAGGCUGCUAUGUCUGUGGAGUAGCCAUUCUUUAUCCCUUUAUUUUCCUAAUAAAUUUGCUUUCACUUUACUGUAUCACCCUGAAUUAUUUUUGCGUGAGAUCCGAGAACCUCUCCUGGGGUGUGGAUCCGGACCACUGUCCAGUAACAUAAGCCUAUCACUAUUAUAACUUCUGAAUUCAUUUUAACAUUGAAACCUCGUAACAACCAUGUGAUGAUAGGUAUUCUGAAGUGAGAAUAAUUUCUUUAUUGACAUUGUAACUGUUAAGGAAAUCUUGAUCUUGCUUUCUUGAGUGUUCUUCUUAUUACAUGUUGUGAAUGCACAAUAUUCUGUAAUAGAAAAUUAUAGAUUUUCAUGCUCAAUAAAUAAUAAAGAACUUUUAGAUUAUUCAGCGGACACAAUUUAAGAUUAUUGACAUUCUCUCACAGUUACUUACUGAUACAUCAGGUCUUGUGGAUUUCACCCAGCCUACCAAGUAUAUUUCUUCCUAUCAUUUUAAUUCCUAAAUACCACUUCAUAUUUUAUUUGAAAACCCU